CUCUGAAUUAUGGGAAUAAACAUGGUGAUUGCGCUUGAAAUUGCACUUUGCUCACUUUAUUUGCAGUCGUAAAUGACCCCUCCUGUCAGACAAUGACUGGAAUGUAUUGCUGCAGUCCUCAUGAUGGCUCUCAAUAGACACUCUGUAUGCAAAUUGGCUCCCAGAUCAGCCUGAUUUGGCCCAGUACAUGGGAUCUGUACAACAUUUUGAGCAAGAGUAAGAAUCUAUAAUAUGCAUAAUGCACACACCUGCACACAAAACAUGGUCCCCAACCCCCAAAGCAGGUGCUGAUUCACUCUGUUGCCGAUACCAGCUUAUCUCAGUACAAAGUCCAGCUCAUAACUAAAUAAUGACUGCUUCGUACAAACCCUAGGGGAGGGAACACUAAAUGGGCCAGUUGAAAAAACAAGGGGUUCAUGGUGAAAAGUGUACUUCUUUACACAAACGUGUUAUUAGCAAGCAGUUUGUGAUUAAACUAUUAAAUGUGAUACAGCACUUUACUCUGGCUAGGCCUCUUUGUAAACCAAUGACACCACUGGUAUAUCCUGCAAUUAUCUGGUAUAUUGAAUAAAAUAACUAUUAAUAAAAGUGCAUGAGUGUUGUAUACUGUCUGGAACAACAGUGCCCCACAUUUUUUAUGUCUUAAUGCGUACGAUGACCCUCAUUUCCUCAUUUCAUCCUUCGAGGUCAUUUCUAAGGGCGUUUUCACCUUCCUUUUGUUCCGUGAACAAUAAGUAACCCAGUUAGUUAGUUAUCAACCCAGAGGAAACAAGAGGCUGGUUGAUAAUUUAUAGCACCUCAACCAAUUUAAAUGAAAAGUCCAUAUGAAAUGAUUUCAUCCUAGGAGACCCAAAACAGACAUUCCCUGCCAGACUUAAGGCUAGUUGUCAGCCUUUAGGGUGCUAUAGAUGACGACUACAAAGCAAAACAUAUAAAGGAAAAGUAAGCUUUGAACCAUGCUGAAUUUAUUCUAAGAAGUCUGGAAAGAAAAGGAGAAAAGGCACAUUGGAAGAUGGUGCCUGAAUAUUCCAGUGGGGACAGGGCACUUCCUAAUACAAAACCUCUGAAGAAAAUACACCGCAAUAACAGAUGUUUCCAAACCUCUAAGCUGCAUAUUGGGAGUAAAAUUAACACAACAAAAGCAAAAGCUAUCACAUUGACUGCUGUACAGCACAGUCUAUAAUUGCAUCGGAUGGGUUAACCAUUAGAAGUUAAUCAUCACAAAAGGUAGAGGCCGUUUGGUUUAUAAAUGUUCAAAUUAUGGAGGAUGUGGGUAAUUAGUAACCAGCACGAGCCCCCUGAUCCCUUGUGAUCUGCAGAACCCACACUACCUGAAGACAGGGAACUGAGAGCACCCUAAUGAGUGGAAGAAAAGGACAACAACAGCAAACGGACAUCAACAAUAGUAUAACAAGCAAGGCAAAAGGAACAGAUCAUGACUCAACAUAUCCCUGGAUGUGGAUUUUUUUAUACAGCUAAAUACAUAUGCAGGCAGAGAAAAGGAGCAGUGUUACUGAUAUGAAACUUGGGGCCCAUUCCAAGCUGAGCAAUUAUUGCAAAAUGACAAAUAUUGCAAAAAUGGACCAAGUAUAACUGGAUAAACAAAGCUUGAGGUAGAGAAGAAGAAAUGUCUCUUUUACUAUCUUUCCAACUGGCAAGAAAAAUUAGAGGGAUUUGAUGGAGAAAUUGCUCUGCGUUAAACUUGUUUCACAAGCAACCCCUGCCUGAUUUUCCAACUGAGGAUGUAGAAAUGGCCCUAAACUACAGUCAUCCCAAAGGGACAACUUUUCUCAUCCCAGUUGGAGGGAAUACAUAGACUUCCAUGGAAAAAAAUAUGCUUUGUUUAGAGAGUAGGCAUUCUGUGCAACAUUUGGGUGAGGCUGGCAAAUUGGACCACAACAGCAGUAAAGUGGCUGUGAAUAAAACCGGUGUUCCUGAGCUGAUCUGCAUGACCUGUGGGGACCUCCAGUUUGUUCAUCAAAAAGGCGACAGGGCGACAAUCCAUAGUUCUGAGCUCAAUUUCUCCUCCUUGGUUAUCUCCUAUAAAGAAGGAAGGGGAAAUCGGUAAUCUCCCGAUCACCUUUUCUGAAGAGGAGCGUAAGCGGAGAUUCGAACCUCCUUUCUUCUAAUCGGAAAAGAUCUUCUAAUCGGUUUUCUGUUGCUAGGAGCACCGGCCGCGGGGUGUCAGGUAUAAUUCCCAAGGAGGAUUUACACAAGGUGAUGGAUCAUCCUGAGGCAAGUUGCAGCUCUUAGGUUUGGGCUGCUGUGCUUGUUUUCCUAGAGUCAAGGGCUGCCUGAAACAAAGAUGGCUGCUGUCAAACAUGACUUACAGUUUGCUGGUACUGCUAUUGGUGCAUGGUAGCUGCCAAAUUUUUGGAGCGAUUAUGAGCGUUAUUUUUUUGGUGUGGGAAAAGUUAAACUUCAAAAAAGAUGUGUUCAGGCUCGGAUUUGUGGAAAGGCCACUAAGGCCCGGGUCUAUGGUGGCAGGAUUUUAGGGGGCAGCAUGCCGCCCAACCACAUUCACAUUGGUUUGUACGUUUUGGGGCUGCUCAGGAGAUACAAAGGUUUUUUUAAAUUUCCUAUGCGCCAAUCUCCAGUGCUCCUGACCUGAUGAUGAAAAUUUGUGCAGGUGCACGAAUAAAGGAAAGGGGACAGGGAUGUCCUGUCUAGAGGUAAUUAAAGAUUUUUUCUUCUGGAAUACUUAGGUAAUACUUUGUAUUACUAAUAAGCUGUUAUUUUUCCAGAUUGCUUCUUAAGAUCCUCUUGCCAAAAAACAUAGGGUAUCUAAGCACCUACAGUGUAGACCAUGUGAAAAGCCCUUACCUGAUUAUAACAAAAGGCUUUGCAAUUUCUCUGGUUGAUUUUAAAGAUAUGACUAAUGUCCCUGAUUCCUCUAACUGGAUAUGAAGACAUGCAGCAAAUGUUAUCUCAGCUUUAGCCCCUGAAGCUUCUAAUCCUGUUUGUCUGGAUUCUUCUGAUAACUUUUUUCAGCAGACUAUUUUCAUAAACUGACGAGGGCCACACCAUACGGAUCUCAAUCUGCAGAGAAUACAGGCGGAACCAGCGGGUUGGGCAGGUUCAGGCUGACCUCGCACCCCCUUUUUUGCAGGUGUUGGGCAGGUCCGGGUUGAGCUCUUCUUCCUGCUCUCCCCGCCCGCCACCUUGCACUGCCGACUUCCGGACUCCUUUUUUAUAGAUGCGCGCCUGAUCGCCCCCACCUUUUGUGACAUCAUUGGCGGGACGGUACGGGUCUAUAAAUGGAAGCCGGAAGUCGGACUAGGGAGGGCAGGUUAGGGUCGGGUGCAGGUUUGGUUUUACCCAACCAGCACAUCACUAGCUGAGACCUAGCCUCUGAGAUUAUACCUUGUUGCAGUUCAUUCCACACCUGCAUAACAUACUCCGGGCUUGUUACAUAGUUGCUGGUCUCCAGCCACUGGGAUCCAUACAUUGUUGCCACUUGUUCCCACGCCUCAUAACACAAGUGGAGAACCACUAUGGAUUCCCUGGAUGGAACGGAGUCUCAGACAUCUCAGCCUUAAGACCUAAAACCUUUCCUGUGCACCCCGUCAUGAAGGUGGAUGUAGCUACUGGAAGACUAACAAAAUCAUUAUCCCUGUGGAAUAUGGUUCUGGUCUCAUGGACCCCAUAGAUCCCAGUAGGAGGGAGAUUGUUAUUUUCUUCAGGAAUAGGGAUGGGCAAAUUUUUUCGCCGAAAAAAUGACGCCCAUAGACUUGUAUGGCGUUGUGCGUCAAAAUAAAAAGACGUGCGUUAAAAAAAGUUCGCCGCGCGAACUUUUUGACGCUCAUAGACGCCCAUAGACUUUAAUGGAUGUCGGCGACAUUUCACCAGCGUCGAAUUUUUGGCGAAAUUCGCCCAUCCCUAUUCAGGAAUGUAAUUUUUUUAGGCUUGCUCCUCAAAAACUUGUUAUCACCUCCCCAAACUCUUCUCUAAAACAACUGCCCUUCUCAAAAUCUCAACAGGGUACUGAUUCAAUUGUAUUCUUAGUACCCAAACCCAAUGGAAGUUUUUGGACUAUUGUAGAUUUAAGGAUGUCAACCAGUUUUUCAGGAAGAAAACUUUUUGAAUGGAGAACAUGAGGUCUGUGACAAACGUCCUCGACAAGGGUGAUUACAUAUUAUCCUUUCCAUUGCAAAGAAGCCUGGCGUCACGUUCACAUCUAUUGUCCUCAGAGAAGGUUUCAUCUCAUUGCUGGUUUACCUCAAAGCAAUUCUACAUCACCUACAGUUCAGGGUGGUACCUUUCAGAAUUACUACUACACGUGCAUAGUCAGUGGUAACAGUUCUGAGGAAGGGAUGGAUCACAGUAGUUUCAUAUCUCGACAUCUGGCUAGUCUUAGCAGUCUCAGCAUAUCUGCUAAAGAAACAUCUAGACAGGGCCAUAUCUCACAAUUAGGUUGGAUCAUAAACCGAUAGAUUUCUUCUUAACCUAGUCAGGUCCAUCUAGUUCCUGGGGUAUAGAGAUUUGUCACAGAUAAGACAGACAAGGUUAUACAAGUAGUAUAUAAUCUUGUCUCCAGUUUCAUCUCUACCUCUCUAGAUUUCUGCCUUAUAGGAUGUAAGGGAAUGAGUACAUUUUAUAUUUAUCAGAAUGUUAUUUUCCCUUAGUACUUUUGGCAGCAAAAUGUUGUCUGCCUGAGGUUGUAAUUGGGUAGCUUCUAUUUAUGGGUGAGUUAUGAUUAACCUUUCUGUUUUCAUUUUUAAUAAAACUUGUCCUACCUAGAAGGGAUUACACAAUACAUCUCUAGGUUUCUUCCAACAUGACUAAGGGAAAAGAAAAGUUUGGGAAGUAACAUAGUAAGUUAGGUUGAAAAAAGACACAAGUCCAUCAAGUUGAACCUUUUAACUCUUUUUUUUUACCAGCCUAACUGCUAGUUGAUCCAGAGAAAGUGAAAAAAAAAAAAAUCUCCCAUUUGCCUUACAGGGGGAAAAAAUUACUUCCUGACUCCAAAUCCAGUUCCUGGAUCAAUUUGUACUAUCAGCUAUCUCCCAUAACCCUGUAUUCCCUCACUUGCUAAAAAGCCAUCCGACCCCUUUUUAAAGCUAUCUUAUGU